CGAUAGAAGACGCGAUCCGACUAGCUGGCGGGCAACGCGUAAUACGUAGACACUGUGUAUACAUAAGGCAGUACGUGGCUAGCGGCAUUAAGCUGUCCGCUUAAAGAAGCUCUAUGGCGAUGCUUAACAGUGCAUAAGUCCGACAAUGAAUUGGCAAGACAGACAUUUCCAAGGCACAUAAGUCAGUCGAGCGUUAGAGCGAGCCUACUCAACCAAUAUAUACGCUAACCAUUUGUCAUGCUUGCUUACUGCUUUGCUGGUGCACCGACUUGUGACUUCAUAAACUUACGAGAGAACACCUGCAGCGCGAAGAUGUCCGCAUACUACGACUCAGUCUAGUGUCAACGAGCCUCUUAGCCAAACAAUCUAAAGAACGAAAGAAACGUUUCGUCCUUAUCGUUCAUGUCGAUGCCCAAACAAACAUACCGUCGACGUUUUCUUGUUUAUUAUUGUAUUGCGUACACGUAAAAACAUGUAGACACGUGUUUCUUAUUAUUUUUUUUUUUAGUUUUAUUAUUUCUUUUUGUUUUUUUUUUUUUCUAACACCAAUAUCGAGCAUUAUGAAAUUUUUCUUACGAAAGAUGGAUCGUGAAAAGGCGAAAAGAGAAAAGAAAAAGAAAAGAAAGGAGAGAGUAAAACAUGGAUACUUACGUGCUCGCUUACUUUGUAUUUUCAUUUGAUCUCUAUGUAUUCUAAAUGUAUAUAUAUAUAUAUAUAUAUAUAUAUAUAUAUAUACCUAUGUAUGGUUCAUAUAUAUUUCACUUCCGGUCAGAAGUUAUCCUUGUAAUUCGCUCAUUAGACGAAGUUAUGCCGGGAGUAAUUAGCGCUCGGCUAAUCGACUACAUUCUCCAAUAUCGUGCUUGGUGCAUAGUAAACAGGCUUAGUGUGGUCGGAGUGCGAGAAUCUAUACGAUAUAUCGCGACGGUAGGUAGGAUAUCAUCGGGUUCGUAGCUAGUGACGCCCAUUGAACUAGAUUUUCGUUUGAGGUGAACGGUGAAAAGUAAAAAGUAAAAUUCCACUUUCGUUGCCGUUACUACAACGUUAAUUAACGUGUAGAUAAAAAAAGAAAAAAAAAAAAAAGAAAAAAGAGGGAAUACAAAAAAUGAUAGGGCCUUCUCGAUGAAAGUUUUUCUUUUAUUUCUUUUUUUUUUUUUUUUUUUUUUUUUUUUUGAGAAAUCGAAAGAGUUCUGUAGGUAUAGGUAAUAAAGAGAAAUGAUCGAUGAUCAAAGACAUUUAUGAUCAAUUAGACGAGGCGUAUAAAGUAAAAUGUUAAUAGUAUGUACAUAUUUUU